AGGGAGGGUUUUGGUAGGAAAAUCAAGAACACCUAGGAGUGUUUGGUCUUGUGCACAAAUCUUGGAUAAUGUCAUUGAGCUCUUUUCAGCAUUAACAUCUAGCCCAGAGAAGGAGGAAAAUUUCUCUAGGGUCCUCUUUAUUGCAUUUAGGGAUUUUCUAUUUGCUUUUGAGAAUAUUAGAAUAUCGUCUGCAUAUAAUAGGUGUGAUAUAGAGGUUGCUCCGUUGACCAUAUAAGUGUCUAUUCUCUUUGCCAUAACCUCUCUUUCUAGUAGUCUGCUUAGCACAUCCAUGACUAUGUCAAAUAGGAUUGGGGAUAGGGGUCUCCUUGCCUUAUUCCUCUUUGAUUUUUAAAAGGUGGGGUGGGGGUGCCCUCAACUAGCACUGAGAAAGAUGCAGUGGAGAUACAAUUCCAUAUUAGCUUACAUAGAUGAGAGGAGAACCCAUAGACUCUUAGUGUGUCUAUUAUGGCCUCCCAUUUGAUUGUGUCAAAUACUUUCCUAAGGUCGAUGCUUAUGCAACAUCUUUUGGGGGUUCUUUUCCUACCAUACCCAUAGAGCAUUUCAUCUGCCAGCAAUGUAUUAUCUGAUAUUAACCUACCAUUUAUAAAAGCCGUCUGGUUUGGUGAUAUGAGUUGUGGCAGGACCUUAUUUAUCCUGUUUGUGAGGAUUUUUGUCAUUAAUUUAUAUAUUAGGUUGACACAGGAUAUUGGUCUGAAAUCUCCCAUUUCAGAUGCAGUGUUGGAUUUUGGGAUGAGGGUUAGGAAGGUGUGAUUUGUGGACCUUAGUAAAGGUUUCCCUUUGAAGAAUUGUGUUACACGGUCCAUUAUGUUCCUUUUAAGUUCAUUCCAGAAUUUCUCAAAGAAUUCAAGAGGUAAAGCCUCUUGUGUGUUUUCUUUAGUGGCAGAAAAUGCCAAAUUUUGGGGUAGUAUUUCUCAUAGAUUAAAAAGCGACGCUUAAAACGAAAAAGCGCUCCUGGAGGAGCGCUUUCCAAAUCGUUUUUUUUAAGCGGGUAAGUGGGUCGUGUUAGACUGUUAGUGAGUUUCUACCCAUCACCGGGCAAGAGAAGGGAGGAAGAGAAGGAUCUGUAAGCUGCAGUAGAAGCAAACUGAUGUUGUUCAUCUAUGUUUAAUAAAUGUUAUUACACAUAUAAAUGUUUACUGGUAAACGUGUAGUAUAAAUGUUAUUACACGUGUAGUAUAAAUGUUAUUACACGUUUACUGGUAAACGUGUAGUAUAAAUGUUAUUACA
rnacentral:lncRNA from 1 species